UACGGAGGAUCCAAGCGUUAUCCGGAAUCAUUGGGUUUAAAGGGUGCGUAGGCGGCCUAUUAAGUCAGGGGUGAAAGACGGUAGCUUAACUAUCGCAGUGCCUUUGAUACUGAUGGGCUUGAAUGUACUUGAGGUAGGCGGAAUGUGACAAGUAGCGGUGAAAUGCAUAGAUAUGUCACAGAACACCAAUUGCGAAGGCAGCUUACUAAAGUAUGAUUGACGCUGAGGCACGAAAGCGUGGGGAUCAAACAGG
rnacentral:rRNA from 1 species